ensembl:snRNA
GUGUUGUAUGAAAGGAGAGAAGGUUAGCACUCCCCUUGAUAAGGAAUGGAAGAGGUCUUAGUGGUCUUUACAAAAAUAUAUACGGUUAAGGCAUUGCCAUCUACUCUAUGGCAUCUAACCAUGUGUUUGG